rnacentral:rRNA from 1 species
GACGGAAGGUGCAAGCGUUGCUCGGAAUCACUGGGCGUAAAGGGUGCGUAGGCGGCUUGGUAGGUCUGGUGUGAAAGCCCCGGGCUCAGCCCGGGAAGGGCACUAGAAACUGCCAAGCUAGAGUGCCGGAGGGGAGAGUGGAAUUCCUGGUGUAGCGGUGAAAUGCGUAGAGAUCAGGAGGAAUACCGGUGGCGAAAGCGGCGUCCUGGACCAACACUGACACUGAUGAGCGAAAGCCAGGGGAGCAAACGGG